UACGUAGGGUGCGAGCGUUAAUCGGAAUUACUGGGCGUAAAGCGUGCGCAGGCGGUUGUGCAAGACAGGUGUGAAAUCCCCGGGCUUAACCUGGGAAUUGCGAUGGAGACUGCAAGGCUAGAAUCUGGCAGAGGGGGGUAGAAUUCCACGUGUAGCAGUGAAAUGCGUAGAUAUGCGGAGGAACACCGAUGGCGAAGGCAAUCCCCUGGGCCUGCACUGACGCUCAUGCACGAAAGCGUGGGGAGCAAACAGG
rnacentral:rRNA from 1 species